AACGUUGCUGUUUUCGCGCUGCGCGCAGAGGAUUACACCCGUUGCUGGGCGCCUGGCUUCGAGAGGUCGUUUCGACUUCAAUGAGAACUUGGGAAUCAGCUGAGGUUACAUGC
rnacentral:ncRNA from 1 species